rnacentral:rRNA from 1 species
GUCCACACGGUAAACGAUGAAUACUCGCUGUUUGCGAUAUACAGCAAGCGGCCAAGCGAAAGCGUUAAGUAUUCCACCUGGGGAGUACGCCGGCAACGGUGAAACUCAAAGGAAUUGACGGGGCCCGCACAAGCGGAGGAACAUGUGGUUUAAUUCGAUGAUACGCGAGGAACCUUACCCGGGCUUAAAUUGCAGAUGAAUUACGGUGAAAGCCGUAAGCCGCAAGGCAUCUGUGAAGGUGCUGCAUGGUUGUCGU